CGCCCCUCGAGGGCAGGACUGUAGGGCCUUGCAGUCUUGGGGCCACUGCCGCCGGGGCCUUGGCUGGUUGGGCGGUAGUCGGCAGGAGGACGCAGCUUUGCACUAAAGUCGGGGAGGGCGCCGAAAGCCGGGGUAAAGGAAACAGAAUCUCUGAAAGGUGAUGUGGCUGGCCUAGUCACACAGUUAUCAGAGUCAGGCAGGAUUUGAAUCCACAUCUUCUUGACUCUAGAGGCCAGGCUCUGGACAACUGUGCUACAGUCGCCUGUUUGUGGGGCCUCUGCUCCCGACCCCAGCUGUCUGCCUGACUCAGCAACUGUGGGUGGCCUUACUCCCAUGCGUGGGCAGCAGAGCUGUUGGGAAGACUGACAUGAAGAGAGGGGAAGUCCAAAGGAUGCCCAGUGGAGAUGGGUGGCACUGAGACUUGAACUCUGAUCCACUGGACUCUAGAGGCAGUUCUGCCCAACUCUUAAUGGACGGACAGACUGUGGUGAAGUUGAACCUUCUGCCAAAGAAAACUCGUUGAUGCCCGCAAAACCAGCCAGCCGGGGAGGAGGCUGCUCUGGAAUGUCAGAGGGGGGUCACUAAGCUGUUUGUGAGCAGGCCAACACAGAAAUACACCCUAAUGAAGGUUAUGGCCUUGGCUUUCUCUUGCUCCUUUUUGCCUCCUGACCAACACUGGUGCUUCCGCCUAUGGCCCCACACACAUGCUGUGCCUCUUGUUUCUAGGAGAACUGAACAAGAAUGGCGUGUGUGAGAGAAUCCACUAUAAAGUUAUCACCACGACCCCUACCCUUCCCAUUGAGCCGGAGGGACUGGACAAGGAGAAAGGCCACUUCUGGAUAAAAGUCCCUAGGUGUGGCAGUCACAAGAUAACUGAGGUCAAGCAGGAGAAAGCAGAGGCUGUUAUAAGGACUAGAACUCUUCCUCCCAAGUUCUCCUUUGCAAGCAUAUAGGUAAUGAGCUCUCUGUCACUGGAAAUAUGCAAGUGGAACCUGGCCGAUCAUUUGGCAGAGGCUGUAAAGGAGCUCUCAACAUCUGAUGGGAAACUGGGCUGUAUGGCUUCUGAGCAGCAGUUUGUCUAAGGGGUUAAGAACAUGGGCUUAGCUGGCAGUGGCCUCUGGUUUAAACCCCAGCUUUGCCAUUUCCUAGCUCUCUUCCUUCCAUCUUCAGGUAACCACGAUUCUGACUCCUAUCAUCACAGAUUUAUCUUGCCCAUUCUAGAAAUUCAUACAAAUGUCAUCACACUGAACAUUCUCUUGUAUCUGGCUUAUUUCAUUCAACAUUAUGUUCAUGAA